ensembl:lncRNA
AUGGCAGCGUGAAAUCAUUAACAGCGCUUUCCUGCUAUGUGGUUAUUUGGAGAAGGACGGAGGAAAAGCCAGCAAAGACAGGUCUGUUUUGGCUUAAGGGAAACAAAGUAGCCAGUAGAACAUUAGUGAUGUCUCCAUCUGUCACAAAUAUCUCAUGUUUUACUCUACCUAUUUUGCUAAAGUGGGGAUAGCUACUCCUCCCGUCUACUAGUCUGUACUGUUGAUGGUGCACUUCUGUGUUGAGCUCUCCAGGCUCCACCUGCCGUCUCUACUGCUGCUGCACAUCACUUCAGCAAACUGAUGAACUGCGGCAACCUCAGAUUAACCUCCAACCCCAUCUUUCUUUUUUUUGCAAUCCUAGACCCAUCACUGGAGGACCCCUCGGCAGUGGAAAUGUUGGCUUACCCUGCAGCCUCAACUCGUCCUUGCCUUUACGUGGGCAAAAUAUACAUUUUGAAGACUGGAGUAAUGAGGUUUGACUGUUUGAUAAUACACACACAAAUACAUUUUACCCUAGUUUGAAUAAGAAUAUAUCUUAGUAAACAGCUACUCUAAAGAUUAUGAUCAUUACCCACAUAUCCUUUGAGAAUGCAUAUCAGUGAAGAGUCGGCGUUGGCAGAAAAUGCAAUCUGUGGUUUUUGUGUUGGCAUAGAUCAUUAACCGUUUUCCCAAAGGAGAUGGAUAAAUUGCACAUUCUUAUUUCUACAUGCAUAGCGUUAAAAUGAAUGUGUUCAUUAUUCACUUCUUUGUGUAAAUUUAGACAAUACCAGAUUGUUUUUUUUUUUCCUACUAUAUAUUUGGAUCUCAUUUAAGCAUAAUGCAGCCUUAGUUCAUAAUAUAGUUUAAUCAUUAUUCAAGAAAACAUAUGUACUCUUUUAGGUCUGCUGAUGAAUAUGGAGCCCGUUGUCUAACGAGGCUUGAAAUCCAAAGUUUUCGACACUGGACCUGAGCAUCUGACUUUCUAUUAUUAGGGCAGACAUACGUUAUUUAACAAGGAACAAAUGUUGAAGUUGUUUCACGAGGCACUUCAGAAGCAUGGUGGUGAAUCCGAAUUUGGUCAUCGACUCAAGACCCUGACUUUAUCCGUAUUACAGACGCAGCAGGUAGCUCUUCCACUUCUUUAUAAUCCACAACCCGUUGGACCAGAAUGAAAUGCUGGCAUUGGUGUCAGAUAUGAAAAAAAGGAUUGAGCCAAAUGCAAACAGAACCCGCUUAACUGUUUCUAUAAAGUGUUUGAC